AGAGUUUGAUCCUGGCUCAGGAUCAUUGCUGGCGGCAUGCCUAAUACAUGCAAGUCGAACGAGGGUCCUUCGGGACUCGAGUGGCGAACGGGUGAGUAACACGUAGGGAACCUGCCCGUGCGACCGGGAGAACUUUCGGAAACGGAAGCUGAUACCGGAUAGGGACAGAGACGGCAUCGACUCUGUGUUAAAGGAGCUGAAAGGCUCCGCGCACGGAUGGACCUGCGGUGCAUUAGCUAGUUGGUGAGGUAACGGCCCACCAAGGCGACGAUGCAUAGCCGGCCUGAGAGGGCGGACGGCCACACUGGGACUGAGACACGGCCCAGACUCCUACGGGAGGCAGCAGUAGGGAAUUUUCGUCAAUGGGCGCAAGCCUGAACGAGCAAUGCCGCGUGAACGAGGAAGGUCUUCGGAUCGUAAAGUUCUGUUGAAGGGGAAAAAGAGCGGAGAGAGGAAAUGGUCUCCGAUUGAUAUUACCCUUCGAGGAAGUCACGGCUAACUACGUGCCAGCAGCCGCGGUAAUACGUAGGUGGCGAGCGUUAUCCGGAAUGAUUGGGCGUAAAGGGUGCGUAGGCGGCCUGCUAAGUCUGGAGUGAAAGGUACCGGCUCAACCGGUACAGGCUCUGGAAACUGGCGGGCUAGAGAGCAGGAGAGGGCGGUGGAACUCCAUGUGUAGCGGUAAAAUGCGUAGAUAUAUGGAAGAACACCAGUGGCGAAGGCGGCCGCCUGGCCUGUUACUGACGCUGAGGCACGAAAGCGUGGGGAGCAAAUAGGAUUAGAUACCCUAGUAGUCCACGCCGUAAACGAUGAGGACCAAGUGUUGGGGAAGACCCAGUGCUGCAGUUAACGCAGUGAGUCCUCCGCCUGGGGAGUAUGCACGCAAGUGUGAAACUCAAAGGAAUUGACGGGGGCCCGCACAAGCGGUGGAGUAUGUGGUUUAAUUCGAAGCAACGCGAAGAACCUUACCAGGCCUUGACAUAGGGUGCGAAGCUGUGGAGACAUAGUGGAGGUAAACAUCCAUACAGGUGGUGCAUGGUUGUCGUCAGCUCGUGUCGUGAGAUGUUCAGUUAAGUCUGGCAACGAGCGCAACCCUCGUGAUGUGUUACCAAUAUCGAGUUAGGGACUCACAUCAGACUGCCGGUGAGAAACCGGAGGAAGGCGGGGAUGACGUCAAAUCAUCAUGCCCCUUAUGGCCUGGGCUACACACGUACUACAAUGGCGGCGACAGAGGGCAGCGAGCCUGCGAAGGCAAGCGAAUCCCAAAAAAGCCGUCCCAGUUCGGAUUGGAGUCUGCAACCCGACUCCAUGAAGUUGGAAUCGCUAGUAAUCGCGGAUCAGCGUGCCGCGGUGAAUACGUUCCCGGGCCUUGCACACACCGCCCGUCA
rnacentral:rRNA from 1 species